GGCAUGGUGGAGCAGUGGUAACAUCACCGUCUGAUGAUCGGCAGCCCGGGUUUGAUUCCCAAACCCGCCA
rnacentral:tRNA from 1 species